CACCGAUCAUCGUCCUCCCUUUUCGAUUGAGCUCGACAUCGACGGUCGUCCUCCUUUCCCGAUCCAGUGCGCCAUCGAUCGAUUGACGUCCUUCCUCCUUGCCACCAUACCGGCUAAGUCACCCUCUCACUCUCUCUCGCUGCCACCAUCAGUCCUCUUCCUCCCUCCCUUCCCGAUCGAGCUCAGUAUCGACCGUCGGUCGUCCUCCCCCCUAAUCGAGUGCUCCAUCGACUUUGUUGAAGCCCUCUCCGAUUGACGUCCUCCCUCCACACCACCGUGUCGGCAAUUGCCCUCCUUCCAUGCCAUCAUGUCGGUCGUCUUCCUCCCUCUAUGAUCGAGUGUACCACCAGUCG
rnacentral:lncRNA from 1 species